UCGUAGUUGGAUACGAAUAGGCCUCCGGGCCAUGUACCUCAGCAGGCUGGCGACGGCCCCCGGGGAGAAACCCCCGAGGGCUGGCUGGCGGAUUGUAAUAAUUAUAUGCGCGGGGGUGAAUCCUUUGCAGACGACUUGAAUGGGAACGGGGUACUGUAAGCGGUAGAGUAGCCUUGUUGCUACGAUCCGCUGAGGUUAAGCCCUUGUUCUAAAGAUUU
rnacentral:rRNA from 2 species